rnacentral:rRNA from 1 species
ACGCUCGACACCUACGGGAGGUAGCAGUGGGGAAUAUUGCACAAUGGGGGAAACCCUGAUGCAGCGACGCCGCGUGGAGGAAGAAGGUCUUCGGAUUGUAAACUCCUGUUGUUGGGGAAAAAGAGGAUGGUACCCAACAAGGAAGUGACGGCUAACUACGUGUCAGCAGCCGCGGUAAUCUGAGCGGGCUGGCAAGGC